AAGGAUUCAGGGCAGGAGAGUUUAUCAGAGGCUUGGACUGCUUCUGUGUCUCUUUGUUUGCUUCUCUGAGAGGGAGAGUUGUGUGUCUGUUCCCAUAAAUCUUUCUGCAGCUGCAGGCAUACUGGCCAGAGUCCGCUUUCAGCUUUCCUGUCUUAGUGCACCUGAAGGUAAAGGAAUGUGCUGGGGCCCAUUGUGUGAGGGUGAAGUUUGUCUAGGAGACACCGCCCCCCCGCCCCGUGCCUGAGCUGUCCUAUCUGUGUUUUACUGUCUGCUCUUUCUGGCUGCUUGUAGUUAGAAGAUAAGUGAUUUCAUUGAAAUGCAAGAGGCUAGAGAGGGAGCUGGAACUUAAAGGUGGUGUUUGUUCAAGAUGAUGGUGCUGCUGCUCUGUCACUUACUAAGAUGGCCAAGUCAACCUGAAAGGAAUGAAGAAGUCAGCUGUGCGUCCAAGCAAAGCCGGCCAGUGAUGGAGAAGACUCUGCUGCCUUCAGAAAGAACACAUCAAUUUUCUCAACGGAGCAAGAGUUUCUGUUAUUAAUUAUAAUGCUGCCGUGUGUUGGGUUAAUGGGUAACAGUAUCACAGAAUUUUCAUGGUUUUUGUCUCAUUGUUCUGCUACCCAUGAUAAUACCAGGUUGAGAAGACAAAACACUUGUUCUUUAAGAGACUGAGGCACUUGACAAUGGUAUAGCACAAAGGACGAGCACCAGGGUGAUUCUGGGACAUUUUCCACCAGAUCUGGCAUUUAUGGGACACUGUUAACUUUAAGCAAUUGUUUUUUAUAAAUAUCAAAGUUGAAUAGUAGACUUUUGCCUUCUUCGUAACUAUUUUUUUCUUGCUUGUAAAAAAUCUGGAGAAAUAUCUAGAUGGACAAAUUAGAAAAUAAAAACAGUUCAUGAUUGUACUCUCCAGGUACAACCUCUUUUGUCAUCUUUCUGCAUUUACCUGUUAGUCUAUUUGCAUCUAUAAAGAGUGCUAUUAGAAAUUAACAUGAGGUUUGUCUCACAUUAUUAAAUACUCUUCUACCCCAUGUUUCCAUCGGCUGAAUAGUACACCAUUAUUACCAUAAUUUAUUUAACACAUUCUCUAAACAACUGUUUAGAUCUCCCGCAUUGUUGGAAGUGGGAAGUGCAGGAAGGCAGAGUGCACAGCCACGCCUGCUGGUACUUCUGUGUUAUGUAUUAUAAGCAACCCUUCAGUCAACACAGACGUUCGGAUACCUUCAUGGACAGCUCUGAUUUUUCUCGGGAUAAACCUCUGGAAAUGGAACUCCAAGACUAUGAAUAUAUUGAACGGUUUUUGAUGACUUGUCUUCUGCAAAGGUUUUACCAGUGUAUCCUCCAAAGUGGUGUCGGAGAAUGUCCUUUCUACUGCCCCCCCCAGAGAUACUUGAUGAGAGCACGGAGGGCCGGAAAGGUUCGUGGACUCGGCCACCAUCAGGGAUCAGGAGGUCCAGGAACCAGGGCUCGAAUCUCUAGCCUCACUCUCUUGCCGACAUGUCGUCUCUCGCGGUGGGGCAGGACAGGAGAGGAGAAACUGUUUAGUCAUCGCUGAGUGAGCAGCUACUCCGUGUUGGAAUAACGCGUCCUCAGUUCUGGCUGUCCCUGAGUAGUCAACAAAACAACCAACAGAGCCAGUGCCCAGUGAGUCAGAGUCUCCUGGUGGCCUGGGGGCAGGUCGGAAUUUCCCAGGUGGUGUCCAGGUGUGGCCAGGGUCAGAAGCUAGUCCAGCACUUUACGUCCAGCCCCUCCCCGCCGCCUGGAGCUUCAUUACCCGUCACUUUGACAUAUCGUCCACGCCAGCAACCUGAAACCCGUGCCUGUUUUGCUUACCUGCUCAUCAUUUACAGAGGAGAGACCUUGGCACCUAGGCUCCAGGGAAACUCCACAUUCACCUGUAACAGGGAAGGAGGGGGUUCCCGAGAAGCGUCACUGCCCCGUAGGUGAAUGGAGGAAGCUGCUUCUGGCUUUCUGUGGUGUUGAUGCUUCUCUAGGACACUGCUUCAUAACUGAACAGAAUGGAGCCAGGUAGGCCAGGCUGGAUGGGAGAAGCACCUCAGAGUGUGUAGCCAGAGGAUCCCGAGAUGUAACUGGAACUUCCCCCCCUCAGGCAGUUAAGAGCUUUCUGAUGCCUUCUAAAAAUUAGGCAGAUGAAGUCUAAGGCAGGCAGGGCAUUCCCUCCAGAGCCAGAUGUAUGGAGGAGGAAUCCUCUCCUUCUACUUUUUAUCCAUGUGAACUUCAGGGGCUCUUAUCAUCCUGGCAGGAGCCUCUUGUCAGGAAUGGAGUCAGUCUCAGGAAGUUGACUUCCUCCUGCUCCCUGGCCAGAGGCCCAUCUUCAAAGACUUCAUUCUAUGUUCACUGGGGGGACCAAGCAAAGCCUCCAGGUGGCCCCUCAAAUCCAUCCUGACGGCUGGAAAAGCACCCUAGAAACACGGGUCCUUCUGGCCCUAAAGCUUGUCCUCAAAGCUUCCUUCAGGGACCAGACCAUCUACUUUAUUAAAGGACAGUGCACUAUUAUUAAAUGUUUUUGUGGUGAUACAGGAGUGAGCAAUCAGAUACGUGUUCAAAUUGAGAUACAUGUUCACAUUGAGAUACAUGUUCACAUUCGGAUACAUGUUCAAAUUGAGACACAUGUUCACAUUGAGAUACAUGUUCACAUUCGGAUAUAUGUUCACAUUUGGACACACGUUCACAUUCGGAUACACGAUCACAUGCGGAUACGUGUUCACAUUCAGACACGUGUUCACAUGCGGAUAUGUGUUCACAUGCAGAUACGUGUUCACAUUCAGACACGUGUUCACAUGCGGAUACGUGUUCACAUGCGGAUACGUGUUCACAUUCAGACACGUGUUCACAUGCGGAUACACGUUCACAUUCAGACACGUGUUCAUAUGCGGAUAUGUGUUCACAUUCAGAUACAUGUUCAAAUUCUCACCCUCAACCCCUCCUGCCGGGAAGGUCAUCCAGAGUGAACUAUUUAUUUCUUUCUUAUCUUUUAGAAACAAAGUCUUGUUCUGUUGCCCAGACUCAAGUGCAGUGGUGUGAUCACAGUUCACUGCAACCUCAAACUGGUGGGCUCGAGUGAUUCUUCGAGUGUGGACCACCACAUCUGGCUAUUACUUUAUUAUUGUAUUGUUUUUAGAGAUGGGGGUCUUGCUAUGUAGCCGAGGCUGGACUGGAGACUUUCAUUUACGGAACCGAGGCACUGUUGCUACCAAAAGUGCCCACAGGACAUUUUCCUAGCUAAUGUCAAGCAUUGGAGGCUUUAGGCCCAGCGACACGGGGGACCCUGAGAGGCCGAGUAAAGUAGCAUUUGUGCUUCCACUGAUGGCAGUGAGGCACUCCUGGACCGCACUGGCUACAUCUGGCUCCUAAGGACUACUUGUCGCUUGGUCCCUGGAGAAAGCCACUAGGCUUCCCCAGGCUCUGGCACCUGGCUGCACGCUAAGAACUGGAGAUUGUGUGUGGCGUGUAAGGAGGAGGUGUUUCUGGGCCUGGCUCAGAAGGCUGCAAUAGUGGCACUCCAUUUCCUUCUCCAGAUACCCCUCCCUGCCCGACUUCCAUUCCUUCCCUUCCCUGGCUUCACGCUGCCUCCAUGCCCCGUCUUCCCAAUGCAAACCUUUCCUGCAGGGCAGGUCUUGUGGCCUUUCAUCCCAAAAAACAUCACACCCUUUUCUUCCUCCUUGGGUUUGCUCAUGUCAUUCCCUGCCCAAGUAGCUCUUUCCUUUCUCCUUCUCCCAUCCAAUGCCUCCAGGGUCCAGCUCAAGUCUCACUCUACCUAGUGAACCUUCGCCGUCCUUGAUCUGUGUGGUACCUUGAGCGUGCUCCAGGGAUGUUAGGAUAGCAGCAGCCACACUUUCCUUACUUCCUGCUCUAGUCCUACCACACAAUUCAGACUUAAUUUUUAACCACCUCUGCUGGUUCAUCAACUCUUUUCAAUGAUAAGACCCUUGAAGUCGGGGAUCAAUGCCAAGCACUUCUCUUGUGUGCCUGACUGUGGCAUGGACACAGAACAAACAUGUGGAAACCUCACGUGUACCAGAGGCUGAGCUGAGCACAGACACGUCCUCAGCUUCCUGGAGUUCAUACUUGGGUGGAGGAGACAGACCUGUGUUCCUAACACUGGGAGGUCACGGUCAGGGAGAGCUGGGAGCACAGAGCUGGUUUGAUUCCUGGGGGAGAAACAUGUUUUGAGGCUCUUUGAGUGUUGGUGACGUUGCCCUAAGGGCGUUCUAAGAGGAAGGUCAGUGAAGACAGCGUUUCUGAAGAUAUAUAAGUAAACUCCUUUUGCCUCACAAACUUCCACCACUUUCGUCAAUAACAAUGUUGCUGGCCUCUGACUGUCUGACCCCUUCCUUGCCUUCGGGUCCCAGCACCUGGCACAGCGCCUGUGGGAAUGCAGAUGGGGGGCCUCGCCUUCUGUUUCUGGGACAAGCCUCAGGCUCCCACCCUCACAGGCUUCAGUGCACAGAGGCUUUCAGGUUCUUUUCUUCCUUCAUCACGAUAUUAGUGAAACCCUAUCACAGCCUUUGCCUUCUCAUAUGCUACCCUGGAUUUUAAGGAAGUUCGGCGUGAAUACAUGAGGCAAACACCAACAGGAACUCGACCUCCAUUCCCGUGGGUUAGUGUGUCAGCUUCCUCUGCUGUGCUGGAGUAGCAGCAGUCCCAGACCUCAUCGGCUCACAAUCACAUCAGCAGCAGCCCAGGCGUGCCCCUUCUUCAUGGUCAUGUCACAUGGCGAUUCAGGCUAAAGGUGCACCCUCAUCCCCGACACAUUCCUAGGGCAGAGGGGAAAAGGGCUAUGGUGAAACUAUGUCACGCUCAUGCAGUCCUGCUGGGAGCAUGCUGCCCUGUCACCCAGUCCACACCAGUCCAUGGGAAGUGAAAUUGCCCUGUGGGACGAGCUUGGUAGUGGUGGACAGAGAAUGUUUUGAAUGAGCAAAGCCAUCUGCUGUAGUUUCCUCUCCCGAUCAUGAAUAUUUGCCCCACUUCAUUCCACAUGCAAAAUGCACUAGUUCUUUCCCAGGAGAAACACCCCAGAAGCCUUAUUCAAGUCUCAGAUCCUCGGAUAAUCUUUAAACCAGGUUUGGGUGUGACGCCUCUCGAUGCAGAGACCUACAGGUUAAACCAACCAUUAGAUAAUGAAGUAGCGAUGACUGUCUUCCGGCCACCGUCUCAAUACACAACAGCUGAGCAACAGCCUGACAUGGGCAGCGCACAUUCCCUGGGAACAGAUUCAGGUCAGUCACCAGGCGGUAGCACGUCCAACACCUUAGCGGGCAGGGGAUGCUGGGGCUGCUGGGAAAUGGGAGCAUUCCCUGAGCAGCUCCUGCUCCUUCUCCUCCCAGGCUGUUGUUCCCAUGGCCUUUGACUCAAUCUUCUGGGAGGUUCUUAAUUUUCCUGGUAGGGAUGGAUCCAGGGGAGAGAAGCAACAGAACAUAGUAAACCACCAGUCCACUCUGCCACACUGAGCUUGGCUCCAGUCGCUAUACCUUCAUUUGAUACUUUUCCUCUGAAGAUUGUUAGGCUACAAGUAAAACACAAGCAAAUCAAUUUUCCACAAACUGUUACUUCCAUGGAUCCACCCAUUACUUUAUUUGUUUCCCAAAUUAUCCACUGCAAAGGAUUAAAAUUUUUAUUUUCUUUUUUUUUUUUUCUUCUUUUUUUCUUUUUCUUUUUUUCUUUUUCUUCUUUUCUUUUUCUUUUCUGGGUUCUUUUUUUUUUUUUUUUUUAAUUUUUUAUUGGAUUAUAGGUUUUGGGGUACAUGAGCAGAGCAUGCAAGACAGUUGCGUAGGUACACACAUGGCAGUGUGCUUUCUUUUCUUCUCCCCUUCACCCACAUUUGGCAUUUCUACCCAGGCUAAAAUUUUUAUUUUCAAUCUCAAUGAAAUUGACAACGACCUACAAAAUACAAGCCAGUGUUUUCUAUCUUAGGUAGGACAAGACAAAAAAAUGUUUUGUUCAACUUGCCAUACAAGUGUCUAAGGCCUUACUGCCAAUUCUGUCCUUCCUGCAGACUGCAUUUCGAGGAGCAGUAUUCUAAAAGAAGGCAAGUUCACCUUUUAAAGGAUCUCUGUGUGCAUCUGCACCUGUACGAAAUGUUUAGAAUUUUCUAAAUGUGCCUUUCUUAUGAUUAGAAGACUCAGCUUGGCUUUUGAGAAAUAGAAAGAAAGAAUUUGUUCAAAUUAGUUGGUGCUGGGGUUUCAAUGUGUCCCCUUCAAAGUUCAGGUGUUGCCAAUAUAAUAGCAUUAGGAGGUAGA